AGGAAGAGAAAGAACCACUCCAGUCUGAAUUGUGCAAGGAAGAGGACAUGGAGUUUAAAAAGGGGCCCCAAGGAGAGAAAGGGGUUUUAGGAGAAGAGAAGAGCUAAACAAGAGCACACGCAAGUGAAAACCUGGAAAUUUAACCAGAAGUUUUGUGUUUCUGUAAAGUAGUAAGUAUCUGCAAAGUGCAGGGGCUUCCAAACCUUGAUAUCCUGGCAGGGUAUCUAUUAGCCUUAAAUGUCAGAAGCACAAAAUUGCAUGUUGGCUAGUGGUGUGGUAACCCUCCUGCUGCUGUGGUUCACCUUUGUAGAAGAUAACCCUGUUACUGCCAAUUUGUUAGGUCUGUGGUCUGGUCCUCAAGGUCAGUGCAUGACUCAAUUCUUGUUGAAAGAAGAGAUUAGUAUCCUACGUUACACCCUACACGUUGCAUGACAUACUCCCUAGUUUAUCUGUUUUUACCAAUUUUUUUCCUGCCUAUGUGAGAAGAUUAAUGUGCAUAUAUGCAGAGCUGAGCUUGCAAUAAAUGUCCCAUGAAAAAUCUCAUUUUUGCAUCCUCAGGGCAUGCUUUUAUUUAUUUAUUUAAACAAAUAAUCUCUGAAGUCUGUAGAAGACAUACAUAAGUAUGUGUUGUGGUGUAACCUGCGAGCCUGUUUACUGAGAUAUAACUCUUUAUUUAUUGCUUUGACAAAGUAAAAUGAUGUUUAUCAUGAAAAGCUACAUUGACCUCUCACUGAGUGCUAACUCAUGGGCUUGCACGUAUUUCCUGUGAUGAAAGUAGAAAGAGACCUUGACCCAUGUUGUUUUCUGAAGCUUUGAAGUUGGUCUUAGUCUAUUACUAGUUGUAGUUGAAGUUCAAAGUAUAUGUGGGAUGCUGCUUGAGAUUCUUAUGUGCUAUAGUUUUGUCUUUAAGUUUUAGUGUCUUCUCUAGGCAUCUGCUCUGUUUUUAAAGAGCAUGGCUUGUACUUGUGUGGUUUGUCUAACACUAUACAUGUCAGGAAUCGUGUGGUUAGACUCAUGCUUUUUGACAUGGGAGGAGUUCAGCUGGAUUAAAGAAUGGAAAAACUUCAAAGCUGUCUUGAAGUUUGUAUCCCCACAGCUCAUGAGGGAGGAAAGGAAAGACAAUCACAGUAAUCUUUUCCUACAGAUAUUUUGGAGAGUACUUCAAAAUCAAAUAAAAACCUAAUGACUAGGCCUCCACUCAUAUUGUUACUUUUUUUUUUUUCCUUUUUCUUUUGGAAGUGUUUUAAGAUUGGUUCAGCACCACAGGGAUGGAUAAUAAGAUUGUAGCUGAUAGAGGGGAACUAAGGACUUCAACGUUUCUAGCACAUGUUUAGACCAACUCACUUAUUCUGCCUAUUCCAGACAAGCAGGUCUAUAGUGGUAACCAUAUUUUGGAGUUUCUUUUAAACUAAUCCCAAUGAAUUAAUGGGUCAAGUACUAACCAUCAUAAAAAGAGUAUCUGAC
rnacentral:lncRNA from 1 species